GGAGAGGUGCCCGGAGUGGCCUAUCGGGGACCGGACCCCUGGUCCGGUCGGGCUCCAGCAGCCCGCGCAGGUUCGAAUCCUGCCCUCUCCG
rnacentral:tRNA from 2 species